UACGGAGGGUGCGAGCGUUGUCCGGAAUCACUGGGCGUAAAGGGCGCGUAGGCGGCUUGGCAAGUGGAAGGUGAAAUCCCUCGGCUUAACCGAGGAACUGCCCUCCAAACUGCUUGGCUUGAGACCGGGAGAGGUGAGUGGAAUUCCCAGUGUAGCGGUGAAAUGCGUAGAUAUUGGGAGGAACACCAGUGGCGAAGGCGGCUCACUGGACCGGUACUGACGCUGAUGCGCGAAAGCGUGGGGAGCAAACGGG
rnacentral:rRNA from 1 species